CUCACCCUCUGCCCCUGUGCGCCCCCAGGCCCGAGACGGUCGCGAGCCCUCGAGUCCCUGGCGGCCGUGAGCGCCCUGCCCGGGCUGCCCUGACCUUCCCCGCGGAGGAGCCGCGCUGCUGGCGGGUCCGGCAGGGCCUGGAUGGUGGCGUCAGCGCCCCUCCCCCCUCAAGGCUGGAAUGUCCGGACUCCGGGGGGGCUGGGGGGGUGCCCUGGGCUUCCCCGGUGUCGUGGGGUGGUGUGUGCCCCCCGCCCUGUGCGCCCCCCAUCCAGGGGUCUCCUCCCCCGCUUCCCUCUGGGCCUGGGCUCCCGGCCGAGCCUCCCCGCCUCUGGCCUUCUCCGUCCGCCUCCAUCCACCUGCGGCGUCUGUGCCCCCGGGGAGGGCCUGCUGCGCCCCGACCGCCGCGGGGGACCCCGGGGCCCUGAGGCACGGCUCCCACGGCAGGGAUGCCUCUGCCCUCCCGGGCCAGGGGGCGGUGACUGUCCUUGCGGCCCUUGGAACCCCCCCCCCCCCGGGGCCUGCAGAGGUGGGGGCUCCUGCAGUGGCUCCCAUGCCCCCGGGCCACAGCUGCGCCCCCGUGACUGCGGGCGGGGGCUGGCGGCGUCCGGAGCAGGAGUCUGGGGGGCUGUGGGUUCCCCUCCCCGCGCCCGCCCAGGGGGGCCUCGCACCUCGGAGAGCACGUGAGACCCAACCUCACGCUCGCGGUCUCCAAGGAGCCGGGAGGACACGAGAGGGGAAGGAGGACCAGGCCAGAGCAUCUCACCGGACACAAUGGAAGACCCCUCGAGGUUGUCCAGCCCGUUGGGGGGGUCUCCCCUCUGCAGGCGCCCCCCAGGCCCCCCCGGGUCUGCCUGGACAGCAGGACAGCCCCCCCCAGCUCCCUGUGAAGUUCCGUGGGGCGCACGGAGCCGGCGACCGGAGGACAGAUGUCCCCAGUGGGACGGGCGGCCGCGGGGUGGGCUGGGCGCGCUCACACACCUGCGCUGAUGCGGCAGUCCUG
rnacentral:lncRNA from 1 species